UGGGGAAUAUUGGACAAUGGGCGAAAGCCUGAUCCAGCCAUGCCGCGUGUGUGAAGAAGGUCUUCGGAUUGUAAAGCACUUUAAGUUGGGAGGAAGGGCAGUAAGCGAAUACCUUGCUUUUUUGACGUUACCGACAGAAUAAGCACCGGCUAACUCUGUGCCAGCAGCCGCGGUAAUACAGAGGGUGCAAGCGUUAAUCGGAAUUACUGGGCGUAAAGCGCGCGUAGGUGGUUCGUUAAGUUGAAUGUGAAAGCCCCGGGCUCAACCUGGGAACUGCAUCCAAAACUGGCGAGCUAGAGUAGGGCAGAGGGUGGUGGAAUUUCCUGUGUAGCGGUGAAAUGCGUAGAUAUAGGAAGGAACACCAGUGGCGAAGGCGACCACCUGGGCUCAUACUGACACUGAGGUGCGAAAGCGUGGGGAGCAAACAGG
rnacentral:rRNA from 1 species